GUGCCAGCCGCCGCGGUAAUUCCAGCUCCAAUAGCGUAUAUUAAAGUUGUUGUGGUUAAAAAGCUCGUAGUUGAACCUUGGGCCUGGCUGGCCGGUCCGCCUCACCGCGUGCACUGGUCCGGCCGGGCCUUUCCCUCUGUGGAACCCCAUACCCUUCACUGGGCGUGGCGGGGAAACAGGACAUUUACUUUGAAAAAAUUAGAGUGCUCCAGGCAGGCCUAUGCUCGAAUACAUUAGCAUGGAAUAAUAAAAUAGGACGCGCGGUUCUAUUUUGUUGGUUUAUAGGACCGCCGUAAUGAUUAAUAGGGACAGUCGGGGGCAUCAGUAUUCAACUGUCAGAGGCGAAAUUCUUGGAUCAGUUGAAGACUAACUACUGCGAAAGCAUUUGCCAAGGAUGUUUUCAUUAAUCAGGAACGAAAGUUAGGGGAUCGAAGACGAUCAGAUACCGUCGUAGUCUUAACCAUAAACUAUGCCGACUAGGGAUCGGACGGUGUUAUUCAUGACCCGUUCGGCACCUUACGAGAAAUCAAAGUGCUUGGGCUCCAGGGGGAGUAUGGUCGCAAGGCUGAAACUUAAAGAAAUUGACGGAAGGGCACCACCAGGGGUGGAGCCUGCGGCUUAAUUUGACUCAACACGGGGAAACUCACCAGGUCCAGACACAAUAAGGAUUGACAGAUUGAGAGCUCUUUCUUGAUUUUGUGGGUGGUGGUGCAUGGCCGUUCUUAGUUGGUGGGGUGACUUGUCUGCUUAAUUGCGAUAACGAACGAGACCUUAACCUGCUAAAUAGCCCGCAUGCUCCGGCAGUGCGCUGGCUUCUUAGAGGGACUUUCGGCUCAAGCCGAAGGAAGUUGGAGGCAAUAACAGGUCUGUGAUGGCCC
rnacentral:rRNA from 1 species